GCGGGUGUAACUCAGUGGUAGAGUGUCUGCCUUCCAAGCAGAUUGUCGUGGGUUCAAUUCCCAUCACCCGCUCCA
rnacentral:tRNA from 1 species